rnacentral:rRNA from 1 species
GAUGAACGCUGGCGGCGUGCCUAAUACAUGCAAGUCGAGCGAACAGACGAGGAGCUUGCUCCUCUGACGUUAGCGGCGGACGGGUGAGUAACACGUGGAUAACCUACCUAUAAGACUGGGAUAACUUCGGGAAACCGGAGCUAAUACCGGAUAAUAUAUUGAACCGCAUGGUUCAAUAGUGAAAGACGGUCUUGCUGUCACUUAUAGAUGGAUCCGCGCCGCAUUAGCUAGUUGGUAAGGUAACGGCUUACCAAGGCAACGAUGCGUAGCCGACCUGAGAGGGUGAUCGGCCACACUGGAACUGAGACACGGUCCAGACUCCUACGGGAGGCAGCAGUAGGGAAUCUUCCGCAAUGGGCGAAAGCCUGACGGAGCAACGCCGCGUGAGUGAAGAAGGUCUUCGGAUCGUAAAACUCUGUUAUUAGGGAAGAACAAAUGUGUAAGUAACUAUGCACGUCUUGACGGUACCUAAUCAGAAAGCCACGGCUAACUACGUG